UGCGACCAAAUGUGCAUAUGCUGUUACACUCAUGAAAACAGUGUAAACAUACAAUUGAAAUCUUUAAAUAUAAUGAUAGAUGCCAUUAUAUGAUUGCCCUCAGUAUGUAGUUUUGGAUAAUCUUUGAAUUAGUCUCAAAGCGACCAUCUCUCCAAGCAUGGAGAAGCCCUUUCUUGGCCCUUCGCAGCCAUUGCUUCACAUCAAAUGCUUCGCGUUGAAGAGCCGACAAAUGCAAAGUAGGCUGCUGCCAAGCAAAAUGCUCAGUAUCCCUCUUUUUCUCUUACGUAUAACGAAUCUAAGACUCCCACCCUCCUGCAAAGAGUAAGCCAUUAGUGUUAAUGUUAAGGAAGCCAAAGGAGGUUUAGUUCACAUGAUAACAGAAUACAAUUUCUAGCAAAAUAAUUAGUGUCAGCCACAAUUUUCUUCAAAUUCCUAUAGC
rnacentral:lncRNA from 1 species